ensembl:lncRNA
UGGGGAGAGAGAUGUAGAAGACAGAAAGAGGUAAAACAGAGGAAGAAAGAGGAGGUGGGGAGAGAGAUGUAGAAGACAGAAAGAGGUAAAACAGAUGAAGAAAGAGGAGGUGGGGAGAGAGAUGUAGAAGACAGAAAGGGAAAGAGGUGGGGAUAGAGAUGUAGAAGACAGAAAGAGGUAAAACAGAGGAAGAAAGAGGAGGUGGGGAGAGAGAUGUAGAAGACAGAAAGAGGUAAAACAGAGGAAGAAAGAGGAGGUGGGGAGAGAGAUGUAGAAGACAGAAAGGGAAAGAGGUGGGGAGAGAGAUGUAGAAGACAGAAAGAGGUAAAACAGAGGAAUAAAGAGGAGGUGGGGAGAGAGAUGUAGAAGACAGAAAGAGGUAAAACAGAGGAAGAAAGAGGAGGUGAGGAGAGAGGUCUAGAAGACAGAAAGAGGUCAAACAGAGGAAGAAAGAGGAGGUGGGGAGAGAGGUGUAGAAGACAGUAAGAUGUAAAACAGAGGAAUAAAGA